CGGUUUCUCUCUUUGGUUUGUGGGGAAUUGAAGUUUCGGUGUUAUGGGUCUAUUGGAUUUAGUUUUAGGUGUUUUGUUUAUUCGCCGGUAUUAGGUGGAUCUUUUCUUCUAGUUAUUGAGGAGAAUUAAGUUAGUAAUAAGGGACAGAACUACUCAUGUAGUUCAAAUUAAAUUGAUGGCUAGUGGCUACCUCAGUGGAAGAGAUGAUAAGACUCCGUUGCAGGUCAAACUGGAUGGUGUUUCCACCAUUAUUGUGGGUGCUUCAGGCCUUGGGCGGUUGGGAAGGUGAACUUGGUUACUAUCACCAGCUUCUCGAAGACGAC